rnacentral:lncRNA from 1 species
UCUGGGCCGUUCGAUCGCGCGCACGCGGAUCACCCACGUGGCCCGUUCCCGGAUCGGCAUGACCUUGCCACGCGGCAGGUCCUGGUUGGCCAGGACUGCUGACUGGGCCACUGACGUGGCUGCUGACGUGGCGCUAACGGGGCACAACUUUUCUAAAUUACGUUUUGACCCCCGGUUUCCGAUUUUCUUUUCAAAAAUACCCUCAGAAUCCAAAUUUUCACACCUUUUUCCCAAAAUCAAUUUCAAUUAAAUCCAAAUAAUAUUUUUACCUAAUUU